rnacentral:rRNA from 1 species
GAUGAACGCUGGCGGCGUGCCUAAUACAUGCAAGUCGAGCGAACGGACGAGAAGCUUUCUUCUCUGAUGUUAGCGUCGGACGGGUGAGUAACACGUGGAUAACCUACCUAUAAGACUGGGAUAACUUCGGGAAACCGGAGCUAAUACCGGCUAAUAUUUUGAACCGCAUGGUUCAAAAGUGAAAGACGGUCUUGCUGUCACUUAUAGCUGGAUCCGCGCUGCAUUAGCUAGUUGGUAAGGUAACGGCUUACCAAGGCAACGAUGCAUAGCCGAUCUGAGAGGGUGAGCGGCCACACUGGAACUGAGACACGGUCCAGACUCCUACGGGAGGCAGCAGUAGGGAAUCUUGCGCAAUGGGCGAAAGCCUGAUGGAGCCAUGCCGCGUGUGUGAUGAAGGUCUUCGGAUCGUAAAACUCUGUUAUUAGGGAAGAACAUAUGUGUAAGUAACUGUGCACAUCUUGACGGUACCUAAUCAGAAAGCCACGGCUAACUCCGUG